GACGAACGCUGGCGGCGUGCUUAACACAUGCAAGUCGAACGCUGAAGCUUGGUGCUUGCACUGGGUGGAUGAGUGGCGAACGGGUGAGUAAUACGUGAGUAACCUGCCCUUGACUCUGGGAUAAGCCUGGGAAUCUGGGUCUAAUACUGGAUACGACAUGUCACCGCAUGGUGGUGUGUGGAAAGGGUUUUACUGGUUUUGGAUGGGCUCACGGCCUAUCAGCUUGUUGGUGGGGUAAUGGCUCACCAAGGCGACGACGGGUAGCCGGCCUGAGAGGGUGACCGGCCACACUGGGACUGAGACACGGCCCAGACUCCUACGGGAGGCAGCAGUGGGGAAUAUUGCACAAUGGGCGGAAGCCUGAUGCAGCGACGCCGCGUGAGGGAUGACGGCCUUCGGGUUGUAAACCUCUUUCAGCACGGAAGAAGCGAAAGUGACGGUACGUGCAGAAGAAGCGCCGGCUAACUACGUG
rnacentral:rRNA from 1 species